UCCCAUACAGCCCAAAUCCCUGGGUGGGGACUCAUUCCAUGAAGGGAUAUAGUGUCCCCUAUCUCAUUGGCAGGGUCCCAAAAAUUAAGUGGAGGAAAGAUGCUCUUGCCCCAUCCUGUUUGCCACACUUUUGGGGUCCACCCCUGUAUUCAGGGUCUUUCCCCUCUCUAUUUUUUCUCUCCCAGAGGAACAUGGUGCCACUAGAGUGAUAUCCCAGCUGGCCAGGAAGAGUCCAGGCACCUCCUGCCACAGGGCAUGGACACUGGGGUAUGGGGGAUAGGGUGGGAACAUGGGGGACACAAGGGAGACAUGAGGACGUUGUGGGAUACUGUCAUGGUUUGACACUGGCACAAUGCCAGUGCCCCCAUGAAGAUACCCUCUCCCUGGUUUCUGCUGUGAGAUGUGACCAGGAAUAAGCAAAGCAGGCUCCCACUUAGAAAUAAAGAAAACAAAACUUUAUUAACUACAACUAUAUAUAAAAGGAACACACACAGGAAAAUGAAAACCUUACAAAUACACUUCCUCCUCCCCCCACCAAAUUUCCAAUACAUCUAUUCCCCAAAUCACCAACUCUUGGUCCAGCACCACCCUUCAGACAAUCAAUCCUCAGUUCAUCAAGAGGAGAGGAGUCCUUCUUGUACCAUGGGCUUCCCCUGGAAACACAGUUGAAGCCUCGUGUGUUUCUGCGUCACUCGUGGCACCGCCCGGAGUACAUCUGCCGUCGUGACCUCUUCCUUUCAUGUCCAGUGCUCUCACCACUGAACACGGACCAGAGCUGCUUCUAGGGUUGUCUUUUUUAAGGAUGCUUUGUCCCGAUCCAAAAGGGCACAGUCUCUCCUUUGGGACACCUGUCCCCCCCAUAUUUCACUCCCUGGGGCCGAGGGGUACCAACACUGAACCCUCUUGGUUCUGAGGCAUUGCCUCCCCCUAGAUGCAGUCUCUGUGUCACAAGGAACAUGGUUCUGUCCAUGGCUGUACAAAAAGAGUCCAGCAAAAGCCACUCCAUCAUCUCUUCCCACUAAGAUUCUUCUCUAUUCUCCCAACAUCUCUCACUUGCCCAGACCUCUCUCACACUUGCCCAUUUCCUUCUUCAUCUUCCACUCUAUCUCUCUUCUAGGAAAGAUUAAUGUUCUGUAAAGUUUUCAUUGUCUGAAAAGGGGUUAAAAGCUCCUACAAGCGGCCGGCUGCACCCCCCCUUCAUCUCCUCAGCCAUGCUGCCGGCACAGGCACACGUUUAUCAAGUUUCAAGAGAAAAAGGAAUGGAAGUUUCUGUUCAAGAGACUCUGUUCCCUGGGCAAGGCCUGACGAGCUCGACAUCUCAGUGGACCAGGAGUUGCCAGAGCAUGCUCAAGAGAGAGAAGUGACCGUCAACACCUGAACUUCUUUCCUGGUGUGUCAGAGACACUUGGUCUGAGAAAAGAUCAAUAAGAGAAUGAAGAAUGAGGACCUAAUUAGCAUUGGAAGCAAAGGGAUCAAUAACCAAUAGGAAACCAGGUACAAAGAACUGUUUAACUUGUGGCCAAUGAACAUUGAACCAAUGCAUUUUUCUGGGUUUUGACUGUGUAAGUAUGUGAAAAAUCUAAUAAAUAACCAUGUGUGAUGGAAUGGUUUCCUCUGCACAACACAGGCAAUGUGUGGAUUAAAUUAUCUCUGUUGCACAUUCUGGGCAGAACAACAUCCUGGCGAGAAUAAAGUAAUGCCUUAAUUCUCUUAAAGUAGAAA